GUACUCACUUCGACAGCACAUAUGCUAAAAUUGGAACUAUACAGAGAAGAUUAGCAUGGAAUGUAAAUAAAGAAAAUAUCUAAUUUUAA
rnacentral:snRNA from 1 species